rnacentral:rRNA from 1 species
ACUCCUAGCCUGACUAUUGGACUAAUCUAUUUAACUAUAGAAGAAAUACUGUUAAUAUGAGUAACAAGAAAAUUUUUCUCCUUGCACAAGCUUAUAUCAGUAACUGAUAAUAUACUGAUAGUUAACAACUAAUAAAUAUAACCUAACACUAAACUAUUUAUUAAUCGUACUGUUAAUCCAACACAGGUGUGCACCAAGGAAAGAUUAAAAAGAGUAAAAGGAACUCGGCAAACACAAACCCCGCCUGUUUACCAAAAACAUCACCUCUAGCAUAACUAGUAUUAGAGGCACUGCCUGCCCAGUGACAAUCGUUAAACGGCCGCGGUAUCUUGACCGUGCAAAGGUAGCAUAAUCACUUGUUCUCUAAAUAAGGACUUGUAUGAAUGGCCACACGAGGGUUUUACUGUCUCUUACUCUUAAUCAGUGAAAUUGACCUCCCCGUGAAGAGGCGGGGAUAAUACAAUAAGACGAGAAGACCCUAUGGAGCUUUAAUUAAUCAACUCAAAAAGCAUAAAAUAAUACCACCAAGGGAUAACAAAGCUUUACAUGAGCUGACAAUUUCGGUUGGGGUGACCUCGGAGUAUAAAAAACCCUCCGAGUGAUUAAAACUUAGGCUUACCGGCCAAAGUAUAGUAUCACUUAUUGAUCCAAAAUUUUGAUCAACGGAACAAGUUACCCUAGGGAUAACAGCGCAAUCCUAUUCUAGAGUCCAUAUCGACAAUAGGGUUUACGACCUCGAUGUUGGAUCAGGACAUCCUAAUGGUGCAGCAGCU